AGUGAACGCUGGCGGUAGGCCUAACACAUGCAAGUCGAACGGCAGCACAGUAAGAGCUUGCUCUUACGGGUGGCGAGUGGCGGACGGGUGAGGAAUACAUCGGAAUCUACUUUUUCGUGGGGGAUAACGUAGGGAAACUUACGCUAAUACCGCAUACGACCUACGGGUGAAAGCAGGGGAUCUUCGGACCUUGCGCGAUUGAAUGAGCCGAUGUCGGAUUAGCUAGUUGGCGGGGUAAAGGCCCACCAAGGCGACGAUCCGUAGCUGGUCUGAGAGGAUGAUCAGCCACACUGGAACUGAGACACGGUCCAGACUCCUACGGGAGGCAGCAGUGGGGAAUAUUAGACAAUGGGCGCAAGCCUGAUCCAGCCAUACCGCGUGGGUGAAGAAGGCCUUCGGGUUGUAAAGCCCUUUUGUUGGGAAAGAAAAGCAGCAGGUUGAUACCCCGCUGUUCUGACGGUACCCAAAGAAUAAGCACCGGCUAACUUCGUG
rnacentral:rRNA from 1 species